rnacentral:rRNA from 1 species
AUGAUCAAGGGUCGGCGGCGCAGCUGCUUCGUCGUCAUCUUAGACGAGCACCGUCCAACACGAUUUUCCGCUGCCGUGUUUCAUGGAAUGUCACUGCUUUUAUCAUGGCAUCCAACACUUGCAGAUGUGACUCAAAAGGGGGUUCUGAAGUUGAUGAACUUGGAUGUCCUAACAGUCUACCAUACCAACAACCGUCUCCAAGAAAAAAAAUCCAAUAAAGAUCAGGGUGCCAGCAACGUUUCUAUUAUGUUUCAGGAGAAAUUUGGAUUUUUUGGACAGUUAUUGCAGCCAUCUUUAUGA